rnacentral:rRNA from 1 species
CCUACGGGUGGCUGCAGUGGGGAAUAUUGGACAAUGGGGGGAACCCUGAUCCAGCCAUGCCGCGUGUGUGAAGAAGGCCCUCGGGUUGUAAAGCACUUUCAGUGAGGAAGAACGCCUGGUGGUUAAUACCCAUCAGGAAAGACAUCACUCACAGAAGAAGCACCGGCUAACUCCGUGCCAGCAGCCGCGGUAGUACGGAGGGUGCGAGCGUUAAUCGGAAUUACUGGGCGUAAAGCGCGCGUAGGUGGCUUGAUAAGCCGGUUGUGAAAGCCCCGGGCUCAACCUGGGAACGGCAUCCGGAACUGUCAAGCUAGAGUGCAGGAGAGGAAGGUAGAAUUCCCGGUGUAGCGGUGAAAUGCGUAGAGAUCGGGAGGAAUACCAGUGGCGAAGGCGGCCUUCUGGACUGACACUGACACUGAGGUGCGAAAGCGUGGGUAGCAAACAGGAUUAGAUACCCUAGUAGUC